rnacentral:piRNA from 1 species
CUUUUGGUCGCGGUGGAGGAGGGAGACGG